rnacentral:lncRNA from 1 species
GGCCGUGCCAAGACCAGUCUCGGGAGAGCUGUGGUGGCUGUGCGAUUGUUCCCCUGCACUACCAGGAAAACUCUUCUAAGAAGCUUCAAUGUCACCUCCAACUUGAAGUCCUCCUUCCUCUGCCCAGUCUCCCCAGAUGCUGCAGAGCCCUGCCAGGUCCAGAUGACAGUUCCCUGGGCUCCUACCCCUUCCUUCUUCGGAGAUGAAGGAGCUGGCUUUUCUUCAAGGACUCUUCUCAGAAUGGAAAAAAGAAAGCAGUGCCACCGACGUCAAAUGGCUCUUACACAAUGGUGGAGUCUUGCUCAGAAUUGUGUAAAUAACUGGGGAACAUAUGAAUUAAAUUUCCCUCUACUUACCCAGGGAUGUAAUAAGUCAGGACUGUGAGAAAGGCUGCCACUCGGCCCCAGCACUCAGAACACCUGAAGGAGUUGUCAUGUCCCCAACCCUAGUGGCUUCUUACCCUGGAGCAUUUCUAUCCCUCUCAAGUUCCAAGGGCUCCUAUGCUCUGCAAGGCACCCACACAUGGGCUUGCCUCUGUCCCUGACAGGGUGGCCUCGGUCAUGACUGCAGCGUCCCAGGCAGCCUCCACCCCUUCUUCAUAGGGAGAGCAUGCUUCCAACCUCUCAGACAGGGCUGGAUAUGUCUGAUCAUUAGUUCAUUCAUUCAUCCCUUCACUCAACUAAUACUUGUUAAGCACUGUGUUGGGAAAUGCUGUGCUAGCAGUGGGAAUGCAACAGUGAACAAGAAAACACAGUCCUGCUCUCAUGCCUAGUGAAAGAACUUUCUGGCAUUCCAAGUUAGCAAAGCUUUUAGAGACAGGUGAGUUCCUAACACUGGAAGUGUUCUGCAGAGGUUGAGACUCAAGCAUCAGUUGAAGAAUUGAAUGGUCAGCCUCCAAGAUCACACCCAAGUGCAAGGUUUCAGGAGGCUUUUAAGUGCCUUCAACGCUGCACCUGCUCUCUUCCUCCCUCCUGCCUGUGCAGUUCUCUUCGGACAGCACCUGCAGAAGCUUUCAGCCAGAGGUUUCUGUUGAGGGCAUGGAUGGUCCCUGGAGAAGCAACGAUGAGUCUGAGUAAAGCAGAUGCUCA